UACGUAGGGGCCUAGCGUUGUCCGGAUUUAUUGGGCGUAAAGAGCUCGUAGGCGGUUUGGUGAGUCGGGUGUGAAAUCUCCACGCUCAACGUGGAGGGGCCACCCGAUACUGCCAUGACUAGAGUCCGGUAGGGGAGUGUGGAAUUCCCGGUGUAGCGGUGAAAUGCGCAGAUAUCGGGAGGAACACCGGUGGCGAAGGCGGGUCUCUGGGCCGUAACUGACGCUGAGGAGCGAAAGCGUGGGGAGCGAACAGG
rnacentral:rRNA from 1 species